GCUGGGCAUGGUGGCGCAUGCCUGUAAUCCCAGAAGCUGGGGAGACUGAGGCAGGAGGAUCAUGAGUUCAAAGCCAGCCUCAG
rnacentral:sRNA from 1 species